GGGCCCGUGGACAAGCCUGGAGUUGUCGUCUCCCUGUCACGGAGAAGAUCGUGGGUUCAAAUCCCAUCGGGCCCGCCA
rnacentral:tRNA from 3 species